rnacentral:lncRNA from 1 species
AAUUUAGAAAGUUUUUAAAAAAUUAAACUUUUCGCUUCAUAGAUAAAAGAUAUUGUGACUUCUGUUUUAAUAUAUAAUUAAUAUAUAAGAUAAAAGUAAAAAUUCAUAAUUUCAUAUGGUGGCGUUUUACAUUGUGAAGAAUAAUAUUAGUCGCAUUAGAGUUAACGCAAGCUGGAAUAGCUCAGUUGGUUAGAGCGUGUGGCUGUUAACCACAAGGUCGGAGGUUCGACCCCUCCUUCUAGCGCAGUUUUAUGUUUUUAUCUUCUUGACUUCUUGAAUCAAUCAAGUCUCGUGAACGAAUUUGUAUGCAUUUCACUUUUCACAAAAGCCUGUCCUCUAACUGUUUGAAAAUUUCAAUUAAACAGACGAAGAUCAUCAAGAGAAAUCUUCUCACGGUUAUGUUAUGUACAAGACCAAUCAUCUUUGUUUGCUCGUCGUGGAUUCUUGAACUGUGUCGGUGCUUCGUUCUUGGCCACAUUUGAGUUUUCGGGAUUACAUGCAGAGGAGAAGUAUGAUGCAGAGAAGGAAAGAGUUGUUGGUGCCAUCGAAUCGAUUCGUGAUUAUUUGAGCAAGUGGAGAGGGCAGAAGAGUGUAGCUGGAGAAGUAACAUUCUUCCUCUUUUGUUUUCAUGUUUUGACAGUUGAUGAAUGAAGCUGAAUGAUAUUUAUAGUAAUUCAUCUUUAUCAAAAUGCACCAUAUAGUUUGUGAUUUGAUCAAUUAAGCCCCCUUUAGUGAGGAAAUUGAUCUACUAACUACAGCGAAUUUCUAUGUUACAAACCCUUCUUGUGGAAAGAGGCAACGGAAUGUACAUAUGAAGCCCAACAUUUUUGUUUAUACUGGGAAAAUAGGCUAUGGUUUGUGCUUAUGUGUUUUAACAAAAAUUCAAAUGUCCAUGGGCCGACGCAAUUGUUAUAUUUCUCAUUUUAUUGUUUUUCAUACCUGCUAUGUUUUAAACAUUAUAUACAUGCUAUGUUCGUCUCACAUUUAUAAAUCAAUCCCAACAAUUACCUUCUCCAAUAUAUCAAUGUAUUUGUGUUGACUACCUUUCCGAACGGGUAUGGAAGGAGGAACCAAUUAUAUGUAAUCACCUAUGUAUUGGCUAUAAGAAAAGGCAGAACACUUAAUUCAUCUCUAAUACAUUGUUUGAUCAGUCAAAGAUAUGUAAAAAUGUGAAAUGAUGCGAUAAAUAUCGAAUGUUUAACAAACGCCACUAACUCAGUGAAAGUAUCAUUGUUUCUUGUCACUUACAUCGAUUUCAAAAUUUGAAAUUAGAUAUUAGAACCCAACAGAAAGGAGAAGAUGAAAUCGAGUUUGUAGGAAGUUUCGUAACAUAUGAAAGAAAUGUUUAGUGAGAAUGAGAAGAAGUAAGUAAGAGUCUUGAGGGGUCACGUGAGUUGUUGUUGACAUAAUGCGUCAGACCAACUUAACUAGUAUAAUAUUUCCAAAAGUGGCUAAGUCAAUUAUUACUGUAAUAAUAAUGUCACCACUGUUCAAAAUCUAUAACUAAUUCACAUUUGAAUAGGUUAAUAGAUUGUAAUCAGAGCUGAUCGUACAUAGUUGAUUGUAUGUACGUUUAACAGAGGUGAAAUUGAAAUUUUCAAUUUCAGAGAACAGUCUAGUUUUUUCCUAUUUAUUGAUUAGUCAUAAUUUUAAAAUAGUCAACGUAAAUUUCAAAAUUACUAUCAAAAUAACAUUAGAUAAAUUAUCAUGUGAUUUUUUGGUUAAGUAAUCAUUGAGUUAACCGAAUAGAUCUCAACAUACAUUGUUUGAUUACUGAUGAAAUCGAGAUUUUAAAGAAAACAGUUCAUGAAUAAAAGGGUUGGUCAACUAUGCAUGCAAAUUUAUUUGAAUUAAAGGUUAUUUACAAUCGUCAUUAAAAGAUAACCAAACUAAAUAAGUACUACUUAAAUGCAAUAAGUGUGUUAUAAAUGAACAAACAAACAUAAUCAUGUGACUUUUCAUGCGAUUAAUAAUGAAAAGUUUGAAAUUAACUCGAAGUCGUCGCAUUGUAUAUUACUAAUAAAUACUUCCUCCUUCCAUGCAGAUAGUAUUUUAUAAUCAUCUCUUCCAAAAUAUGGGUAAAUACAAACAGAAGAGCCAUAAAAGUAAAAGGUCACUCAUGAGUCAUGAUAUAGUUAAAUAUGUACUUUAUUUUAUUUAAGUAAGUAUGCUUUUAUUUUCAUCAAAGAUACAUUUUGAUAUCACAUUCAAUUAUUUGUUCACGGGCUUCAUCCUCUUUUCCUCCAGCUUUUCAUUUAUGUACAUGCCUCUGUUUUCUUAUUAAUUUCCAGGAUGAAGUUAUUAGUUUUGAUCAAAAGUAAGACUUCUAUUUAUCUUAUUUUCUGUUAAGAAAAAACCGGACAUCUGUUUUUGAAAGAAUAAUACUCCCUCCGUCUCUUUAUAAUUGACGUUUUAGCAUUUUGAUUUUGUUUCAAAAUAUUAGACGUUUCCUAAAAUAUAGGCAAAUAAUAACUAAAGUUGAUUUCAUUUAUCCUUGUGUUAUGAUCUGUCGUAAUAAUGAGUUGUAUAUACAAAAUGAUAGAUUAGGCACUGUCUUAAUCUCCUAAAUUUGUGUGAAAAAUUGUUAAACGUCAUUUAAAAGAAAACAGAGGGAGUAUUUGAUUAAGAAAAUAUUUAGUUCAUAAAAACAAAGAUUUACCUAUUGUCUAGAAGAGAAAAAGAAACACGUUUAUGAUAAACGUUGCGGAUGUGAACAAUUUGGCAUUUUGCUAUUCGGGUGUGACACUAUUUUGUUGAAUUGAAUGAUCUCUAUCAUUAUGAUAAUCUUUUAUACUUAUUUUAUAGUUUUACAUCAUUUAUAUCAUAAUUCUUUUAAAAAUAUAUAUAUAUUUCUUAUCAGAUUCGCUCGCUACAUAGUGGAUUGAGUAUCAUACUAACUAGUCCGGGUUUAAAAAGACUUUUGACUAAUAUUAGAAACAAUCAAAUAUCUAUUAUUAAAUUAACAUGUAAACUGUUUGGCUAAGCAGUAAAAAAAUAUUACCAACAAAAAUCAAACCCAAAACAGAUAGGUUUACCCGAUGCUCCAAGUUAGUACUUACCAUUAGCUAUCUCUAUCUUGGUUAAUUCUUUCAUAUUUGGUCAAAGAAGUUUGAAAUGGUAUGGAUAAGAACAAUUAAAUGAACCAAAGAUUAUGCAUAUGAAAUCUUAUAGCCAAUAUGAAAAAUAAUACAAAAGAAAAACACAAGGUCACUAUAUUCUACUUGAAGGUACACCUUUGCUGAUACGAAUAUUUGAUUUUGUGCUGUUGGCUGUCAAAGACAUAGACUUUUAAACUGUCGUUUCCACUUCCUACUGAUGAACCUUUGUAUUCUUAUCAAAUAUCACCAAACUUUAAUUUUAUAACUUGGACCGUUGUGAGUUGUACGAUAUUUUAAUUAUUAACUACGUGUACAGAUUGUCCAUGCCGUGCUAUCACAAUUUCACAAGAUAGUUCAUUGGUCUCAGUGUUCAAUGAUCUCUCUUACUCUCAUUUUUCAAGAGUCUAUUAUUCAAAUUGUAUAAGAAAACUACAGACUCCAAACAAUAUUUGGUAGAGAAAACAAUAGAUCGAUAAAAUCAAAUUAUAAUCUACACACUAGAUUUUGACCCGUGCUUGGAAAGCGCGGAGUUAUUAGAUUAUAUUAUAAUACAAAGUUUUAUUAUAUCGAAAAAUAUAAUUUUUAACAGCUAUAUAAUCUAUAAAUUAGUUUAUUUAAGAUUUUAUAUGUACACUUUUACGUAAGUUUCUUUUCGACAUGAGAAUUAUAUCCGGAUCAAAAAACAAACCAACCGAUCCAAAAUUAUAGGUUUAGUUCAUGUCCACAGAAGAUAACCUAUUGGUUUUUUUUUUACCCGCAGGUCUUUGUUUGAGUCUGUGUCCUACCCUAGACCCGAUCAUAAAUAUAUGUUUAUUAGGUAUAUUUGAAUAUUUUGAAUAUGUUUCCGGUAUUAUGGAUAUUGUUUUUAAGUUUUUGGUUUACGAUUAGAGUUUUGAUUUCAGGUAAAUUUUUCAAAUUAAAAAAAAAAUUGGGUAUUUGGAUAAAAUUUUGGAUAUUUUUCAGUUCAUCGUAUCAGAUUUUGAAUAAGAUUUUAAAUUUUUAGGUAUUUGAACUUUUUUGGUAUUUGUUUGGAGUUUCAAAUACUUUUCGUGUUUCGGGUAUUUUCAGAUUUUUUAUAUAUUUCAAAUUCUUUUAGGAUCUUAAAUACCCGAACAGAUGUGGACACAUUACGUUCAUAUCAGGUCCAACAACCUUUUGAUAUAAUUUUUAAAGUUAUUGUACAAAAACAUGGUUGAUGAAAUAUUUUUCUGAGUAAAGAUAUCAUCAGAAAUAAUAUUAAGAUCUGUUAAAAAUAUUUAAAAUAUUGUACGUUUAGAAUGAUUAAUGUAUUAUCAGAAAAAUAAUAAAUAGUUAUACAUAACUCCAACAACUUUUUUAUAUUAGAUUUUUUAAAACUCUUUCCUUUUUAAUAGUAUUGAUUGUUGUAAGUGAAAAGUAUAUAAAAGUAUAAUAUCUAAACAAAUAAUUUUCAAAAUCUUGAAUAAUCAAUAUUGAUAUCGUGAAGUCGGUUUAGCUUUAAUAGAACCAAUGAAUUUCUUCAUUUUUUGAAGGUAACAUGAAUAUUCAGAAAAAUCAUUUUUAAAUAUGAAAAUAUUAUCAAACUAUAGAUGGUUGAAAGUUUAGUAUAUGAUAUGAGAUUUUAGUGGGAAAGUUUAUAUAUGAUAUAAUUACUUUAUUAUAAACGAAAGAGGAAGUUAGAAUGUACACAUAUAUGUCUUGUAAUUUAUCUUGCUUUAAAUUAUAUAUUAUAUGAUAAAAGUGAUAAUAUAAAACAUUAGUUUCAAUGCUUUUACGAUUAAAAAUCAAAAUGAUAAAUAUAGUAAUAGUAAUGAUUAGGAUUUAAGAGUGAGAUUUAAACAAAUAAAAGAAUUGACUAAAUUAUUGUUAGAAAAAUAUAUGGUAACAUAUUGCUAGUAUAAAUUUAAGGUAAGACCAAAAAUAAUGAAUUAAAUGAAAGGGUCCAAACAACUUUUAUAGGUAGAUUUUUUUAGACUCCUUCCCUUUUAAUAGUAUUGAUUAUCAAGUUCCGAAAAAACCAAAAAAAACUCGAACGUUUUAUUAUAACGAGAUCAGAUAAACUCGAACGUUUUAUUAUAGCUAUACAAGUUGGAAAAUAUAUUAAGCUUGUAUAUUACUCCCUCUGUACCUUAAAGAUCAAUUUUUUAGAAGAAAAAAAAAUUGUUUGAAAAAGAUACAUUUUUUACAUUUUCAAUACAUUAAUUAAUGAAAAAUUAUACUUUUCAAAAUUAAUAAAAUUUCAUUGGUUAAAAGUUAUUGGAAAUAGUUAAUUAGGAAAAACAAUGUAUUGGAGAAUAUAAUUUUAAAUGUUUUCUUAAUAAGUGUGAAAAAACUAUAACAUGGAUCUUUUAGGAAUAUAGGGAUUAAAACAAAAUUUACCAAAACAUGUUAUGAUUCUUUGUCAAGUAUAGAGUGAAAAUAGAAUUUUUAGGUUCGCUUGAUAAAAAACAAUAGAGAAUUAUAUCUCAUUAAUUAAUUUCAGACUAAAAAUUCAAUAGAUUAAUAUUUUACUAAUUUCAUUAAUACGUUUAAAAUAUUACAACCGGUUAUUAAUUAACUUUAAUAGGUCCGAUGUUUGCUUUCUUUGUUUUUUUUUGUCGUUGUUUGUUGUUUCUGUAGGAGGGACAAAGUGAUGGAAUUUAAUUUCUUUGAAGCUACUUUUUUGGCAUUUAAUUUCUUUGAAGCCUACUUAAUAAACUAAAAUUAUGCGUAAUGACAAAGUGAUGGCAUUUAAUUUCUUUGAAGCUACUUUUUUGGCAUUUAAUUUCUUUGAAGACUACUUAAUAAACUAAAAUUAUGCGUAAUUACUACGCCGGGGACAAAAGUGAUGUGAAUUAAAUCCGAUUCAUAGCACGAGAGACACCUGCCCAGUCAACCUAUCUAUUGACCAUUUCUUGUUUCCUCUUUUAAAGUAUGUCAUAUACGUAUCUUCACAUGUUUUACGUAUAUCAUCCGUGUAUUUAUCAAGACUGUGUGAAUAAUAUUUGUAAAUUUCUUCGCGUUCUUUAGCUUUUACCAUCUUCGACAAUACAAUGUUGUUUUGAUGUAAAAUGAUACUUUCAAUAAGCAAUAGCUUGUGUCUGAAGCAAAGUAACAUGUUGAUUUAAGAUCCGAUGUUAUCAUGAUUUCACACCCAUUGAAGUAAACAAUUGUCAUGUUUUGUUUAUAUGUUCAUGCGAAACAAGUUGGACUAGUUUAAUUUGAUAUAAAUAUAUAUUGUUUGAAACCUCAAUAAUAAUACGUUAGUUCUAGACUUGUAGUAUACUAUAGCAUAUACGUGGAAAAAGAAGAAUAUGUUUGUUGUAGUAGACGUCAACAAAAAGAAGAAUAUGUUUGUUGCGCUAACAACAAUAUUCAUCCAUUUCAAAGGGAAAAAAGAGAGAUUGAUGUGAUCAAAUAUUAUUGCUUUUAGAAACUACUAUUGAAAGUUCAACGAGUUUUUAAGUAAAAGUCGAAUCCUUGUAAAAAUGUCUGUUCCAACGGGCAAGCAGCUGUUAUAAACUCUUCACGCCGUUUGACCUCUUUUUGACCUUCUAUCUUUGAAAAAAAUUAUAUGUUCUUAAUUACUCCCUUCCUAUCAUGUAACUUUUAUUUGAUUCUAUGUUUUAAAAAAAAAAAAUCAUUUCAUUAGGCUCUCGGUAAUAUUAUGUUAAGUAUAUCCACUUUCCUUUUUGCUUGUUUACAAAACAAAAGUUGAUGAAAAUUAUUUUUUUGCUUAUUAAAUUAAUAUAUCAAUAAAAUAUUCAAGACAUGACCAUGAGUCCAUGACAUUGGGCUAGAGUAGUUUCAACGGCGUCAGCUGCCGUUAACCUCAAUCACCAAAAUAUAUACAACAAGGGAAUCUCUUUCUCUCUCACACCAUUCUCACUUCCAUUUUUUUUUUCAAAAUCUCUUUUUCCCACACACAUUCUCUCUCUAGCUUGAAGAACAAGCUUGGUAUAGUUGUUUCAACGGGCUAUUUUAUCAAUCUCUUUCACAAAUAAAGAAGAAGGAAGAAGAUAUCUUUGAGUUGAUAUCUCAAGAAAAUGGGGAAGAAAGAGCAGAAGGAUCAUUCAACAGUAGAGAGCGUCGACAAAGUUGAAGCGGUUCUUCAUCUCCUUCGUAAACAUUCUCCUCUCACUCUCAAACAGGUUUGUUUACUAAUGCAUUAGCCCACUAAUCUUUUCAUUAAUUUAGCUACUGGUUUAUUUUUUAUGUAUUGAUUUAUUUGGUACUCUAUUUAAUUUUUGUUAUUGUCGGGUAAUAUUAUUGCAGGAGAAGUUCUGUAACAGAGCUUGUGUCAGUAGAUUCUUGAGAACAAAAGGAGACAAUGUGAAGAGAGCAGCUAAACAGUUAAGGUCUUGCCUUUCAUGGAGAUCUUCUCUUGGCAUCGGUAUAUUGUCUCUCUCUCUCUCUCUUAAAAACCUUAUUCAUAUAGUCUAUGCACGUAUAUUUGCAGUCUUUAUCAGUAUAUAUGAUGUUCUUCUACGUAUAUGUUAAUAUACAUAAAUACAUGUGUAUAUAUAUUUAUUCGUGUACUAACACGCGUACGUUACAUUUUCAGAGGUCCAAAGCUUUAUUUAAAUAAACGGUCAAUUUUUUAAAAACAAUCAAAAGUGAGGAUAAAAAUAACAUAAAGCUUAAAGUUAGCAUGGUGUUGUAGUGUAUAGAUAGUUGGUAGAUUUGUUAGUGGCUAUAGUUUUGAUAUUUGUAUUUCUUUUGUGUAAUUAGAACAGACGUUUCGUUGCUUUUUCUCGGGUUUUGAUGUGUCCCAUGUUUGAACAUCGAGCGUUAAAGUGAAUAUCCACUCAUUAUGACACCCACUUAUUUUAACCUCUUCUGUUUAAUUUUCAAGAUUCUGUUUUACCUUUUUCUUUUGAAAUUUAUUAUAAAUAUAUUAACAUGCUACAGAGAGCUUGAUCGCCGACGAGUUCACGGCGGAGCUAGCUGAAGGUCUUGCCUAUGUCGCCGGUCUUGACGACGAGUGUAGACCCGUUUUGGUAACUUAAUGUUUCUCACCUUUUUAUGAUUUUGUUUAUCAUUUAUUCCCAAAAACCUAAAUUAAUACAUUUUUCUCUUAGGUUUUCCGCAUUAAACAAGAUUAUCAGAAGUUACAUACGCAGAAACAGUAAGCAUAAAUCACCAUAUACACAAAAUAAAACAUCAAAUAUCAAAUAAAAGAAAUUCUCAAAAUUAAUCUAUAUUGGUUUAAUUUUUUUCUUAAAAAGGUUGAUUCGCUUGGUGGUCUUUACAUUGGAGGUGGCAAUCUCAACCAUGUCCAGGAACGUCGAAGAAUUUGUCAUCCUUUUCGAUGCUAGUAAGUUCGAUAUCUAUCUUUUGUUGUAGGAAAACUAUUUAGGAAAACAAGGUUUCUAAAUAAAGGAGAAAAAGUGAAAAAAUUCAAAAAAGUAUAAGUAACUAUUUCUGUUUUGUCUUUUAUCCUCAAUGGUAAUAUUGUCACGGUGAGUGAAUAUGAAACACAAAUGUCUAUUUUUAACCAAAAGAAGAUUGGUAAAAUUUGGGGACCGGAACAUGUCGGAACCCCGGCAGGAAAGUAGGAGAGAUAACGCUCUGAAAUUGUCCGUAGUAUCCCUGUUUAGUCUCGGUCACACGAAUCACAGUCUCAAACUAUUGAGGGUAGUAUUGGCAUUAACUUAUGUCAAGCUUCUACAGUUGUUGCAGCACUUCUCAAACACUGAUAGUACUGUUCAGCUUUUCAUUAAAUGUUCCUCUUCUGAUCCUCUGUAACUCCUACAGUACACCUUCCAUUUUCAUGCAUUAUUUAUUUUUUAAAUUUAAGAUUAUCAUUGACCAAAAUUUUUUUUUUAAGAUUAUCAAAUAUUGAACAAACAAAUACUUGCGUUCAUAUUUUUUUUCAGUCUUUGUAACAAAGGUUAUUAUUCAUUCCAUACACACGUUGAUUGUGAAUGGUUAGCUAAUAUUUUUUCAACUAUUUUGAAAUUUCAGGCUUAUUCAAAUCAGCAUCAGCCUUCAUGAACAUACUUGUGACUACACUCAGAAUAGUUGCAGAGUAUUAUCCUUGUCGUCUUUACAAAACUUUCGUCAUCGAUCCUCCUUCUCUUUUCUCCUACCUUUGGAAGGUAAUUAAUUUGACAAUUGCAUUACUAUCAUAUACGAAAUAUUAUAGUAAACUUAGCUGUACAUCUAACGUGACUGCAUUUUUGAAAAUUUGAAUAUAGUUAGCAUAAGUCAAAGUGUUAGUUCACCUAUCUAAAGUAACGUAAGUACGUAACAUCAAGACUUUUUAAGUUGAAGUCAGUGAGACUGAUCCUCUACGUUCACGUGUAGGGUGUUCGUGCAUUCGUGGAUCUGUCACCGACCACGACGAUUGUAUCGAUGUUAGACUUCCAAAACUUGUAUGACUACGACGACUUCACUUCAUCAUACCCAUCACGAGUCUCCUCCCUCCGUUUCGACAAGUCACCAACAAAACCAACGGACAAGAUUAGCUCCUCCGCAUCCUCUAGGUUCGCCUUCACCGUGUCCCGCGACGGUCUCGACACGGUCAAACCGUGGUGCCUCACUCUCACCGACACGUCAUCGUCGUCCAAACUCGGACACACGAGCGCGUACAUCUCACCGCUAAACGCGCGUUCUUUCUCCUUCGCGUCACCCGCGGCUAGGCGCGAGCCCAUCGAUGGACCAAGGAGAAGCUUUUUCGCUUCCACGCCGAUGCCAGCUAGGACUAGCGACCGUCACUCUAUCGGAACCCUCCGUGACCCGCGGAUACCUCGCCCGUCUUUCUUCCAGUCUCCGGCGGUGUUUUUCCGGCGAGAGUCACAAGUUAGUAAAACUGAGAAGCCGCGAGAUUCGUUCGUUCCUUUUCUCAAGUUUUAUCGUAGGCCGUACGAUGAGAUGACUUAUAGGUCAAAGAUGCGGCCCCCACUCGGUGGUCUUGUCUCUAUUGUUUCUAGCCAGAUCAGACGCCGCCACGUGUCUUUAUCUCAAAGGUUCUAACUCAUGAAGCUAUCAACCAGUUAAAGAAGUACGUAGUAUAGUAUAUAACUUUUGUUACCAUUUUGUGGCCAUUUUAUUAUGAGAGUUAUCCAUUAUUGUUUGUUUCUAUCAUAUGUAUGUUUAGUUCGUCAAGAUGUAUUUCUAAUAAUUUUGAUCAAUUGUUUAUUUAUUCAGCAACUUUUUUCUAUUGGUUUGAUUUCUUCAACUAUCUAAAUUAUUCCAAACAUUUUUGAACUUUCAAUGCGUUGUAUAAGUUAUGAUUUGAAUUUUAAUACUUUAGCUUUUUUUUCAUACAUGAUUAUAGUUAAUAAUUACCAUGGCCACAGUUCGGGAUAAGCAUGCAAAAAGUCUUCGUUUUGAAGAAAAGACAACGUGGUCGUGACGGAGAAUGGUUCUUUUGGGGAAAUUCAAAUGAGAAAAAUGCGAUGUUGCCGUUGUUUCUUUAUUCAUACAAGUACCUACAUGUGACCCCAUUAUUUACUAAUCAUAAAAUAAAUAAAUAAAUAAGCAAACCGUUGACAAAUAAUCUUAUAGUAGUAAAAAACUGAAAAGAAAGUGUAAGCAGUUAAAGUUUUUCGUUUAUUUUAGCUAAAAGACAAAUAAAGAGACAUUUGAUGUUCUUGAAUCCAUUCACUAACCUUGUAUGAGAAAGCUACGUAUAUGCACUUUAAUUGAAAUAUGUAUACACAUUACCCUUAUAAUUUUUUACUUCGUUUCUUUGUCAAACCUAUUUCUUUGUCAAACCUACUUAGUUAUUUAUUCAGAAUUAGUCCCAAUGGAGGAGGACCUCGUAAAAAGCUGAGAUACAUACAUAAACUUAACCCUUGCAUUUUUUUUCAAAAUAAUUUCAAAUUUAACGCAAAAGGAUUCAGAUAUGUAAAUAAGCCAUAGAGGUUAUGGGUUUGACAGUACUUUAUCCAACUAGUUUUAAUAUUUGUUAGGAAUAUGUGUAAACUGAGUAAGUGUAUAAUGUUAUAAUUGAAUGAAAAGGUCAAGGUGGACUUUCUUCUGUUUUGUAGUGGUUGUGUGUAUUUGCAUGGUGUUGCAUUAUAAUAUUAAGUGUACUAUUGCAAGCAAAAUUAUACUAUUAAGAUACUUUUAUAUCAUCAUAGAGAAAUGCGUAUUAUGUCUUGGAGCAAUUGUCUUCAUUGCAUCAAGGUUUAUUGAAAAUCACAUUUGUGAAGCGAUAUGACGUAACCUGGGUUAAGCAUUUUCUUUUUGGAAUUACGCAUAUGUAUUUUUAUCCAAGUAUACUUAUUUUUCAUAAAGUUAAAUUAAAAUGGCCUUUACUUGCAUAAUUUUCGGGGUCAUUUUCUUUUUGUUCAACUGUUGAUAUGUGUGUCUUCUUCGCAUGGGGAAAAUAAUCUAAAGACAGAUGAACAGUUUCUUUUUGUUACUCUUCUCGACUUUUAUUCUUUGUCGAUUUCUGCAGUAAUGAGUUCUCAUUUGUCCCUUUCGUUUGUUACUUUAUGUAGUAAUUUCAUAAAAUUCAUUUCUUCUUUUAAACGAAACUAUAUCUUUGAAGUAAAUUGAUUUAGCUUGCGGACAAACUCAUUAAUUUUGUUAGUUUUUUUGUUAAUACCAUUGGUUAAAUGUUGGUUACUUUCCAGUAACUUUGUCUGCGAUAAAAAAAAAGAGUGAGAAUUAAUACUCCUUAUCCGGAAUUAACUAGAAACUUGAAAUCCAAGUAAUAUUGGAAGCAUCAUAUGGGGACUUUAACCAACCCCUAAGUUUCUUCUUGAUUUAACAUAUAUGCAUUUUAAUCUUGGAGUUUUUUAGUUGAUCAAUUUAUUUCUGAACAACAAAAUAUAUCUUAAACUGAAGAGACUAUGAACAAGAUUAAUUAAUAUUCCACAGUAACCGAAAUUCUUGAUAAAAAAAUAGUUGAAAUAAUCACAAUAUUAAUUUAUAUUCCACACUAACCAAAACUUUUGAUAAAAAAUAGUUGAAAUAAUCGCAAUGUUAUACUUGUGAAAACUAAUGAUUAAAAAUGUGAAACCAUCAUGAAACAAACCAAAGUUAGUACUUUCUUUAAACUCCCAAUUUUUCUCUUCUAUGUUUUCUUCUCAGGACACAUUUUCUAUUUUUUUUGGUUCUCAGAUGAAAAGCAGCACAAGCUUAUGUGGUUUCUAUGAAAAAGAAAAACCAAAAGUUAGAAAUUAUCAAUAAACUUCUUGGACUAAUUCGAUUUCUUUGAGACUGGCGACGACUUCUUCUUGGUCAAGGCAUCUAAUUCUUUUUCUUGUUGCUUCUUGAGGUAUCUCUGCGCAGUUGCAGUCACAAUCUGGCCGAAGAAAUUCAAAAGCAUCAGCCACACGACUCCAUUCCACACGGAUGCAAAAGAAAGAUCCCAUUUCUUUACCUGAGAACCAACAAAACAAUCAUUUAACAAUGCAAAACGUUAUUUGCUGAAGUAAAGAGAAACAAGAAUCUCUUACAUUGAUGUCAGAGGUCACUGGAGGUGAAGCAAUCAAGUACUUCUCCUUCAUUAAGCGGAGUUUGGCUGCGAGCGCAGGCAACGCAGUAGCAAAACCAGGCACAAAGCUUAAUAUAUAUAUCAGCUCGUUCUCUAUCCAGUCAAGAAGCUGAUUGUUACAUACACAUAUGAUGAAGACCGUCUGCAAAAACAGCAAGAGUUUGAGAUCAACCCUGAAGGAAAGUGCCACAAAACAAAAGUACUAUGGAAACGCUAACAAACCUGAAUAUGCGUUUUGAUGAUUGCCUUUCCAAGCAACGUUGCAAGGAAAAACUCCCAGAAUGGUUUCUCGAAUUGUCCACACAUGAUUCCAGCAAGGUCGAAUAAUGGGUUAGGAACCUGAGUUGUAAGGACACGUUGCACCAAAAUCAUAAGUUUUCUGGAAUCAUAAGAAGCACUGAAUUGUUCAGAAGGCGCAUCAGAAACAUACCGAAGCAAGAACCAGAAUAGUGAAGAAGUUGAGGUAUUGUGAGUGUGACAAUAACCAGCCUUUGAGAUUAUUUAAUCGUCUACCAAUGAAUCCACUACCGUCACCACCACAUGUUUCCAGCUCUUCCAUUUUUCCUCCGGAAAGACUCGCUGCAAAGAAGCCAAGAGUAUUAGCAGCUCACUCCCUUAGCUUCUUCAUAAACAAACAUCAAGUAAGUUUUGAGUCUUUUACCUGCCCUUGAGAUAAAGUAAGGAGGGAGCUCUCCCAACGCUGUUCCUAACCCCCAAAGAACGGCCUCUAUCUGAACCUGAGGCAGUAUGCUGCUAAGAGGAACUCCUGACGAGAAAACUGGUGGGCCAAACUCGUUGCAAGGUUUAUCAAGCCACGAGGGGCUUCUCUUCAGCUGGAUUGUGUCGUAGAUUGCGGUUUUUAAAUCGACGCGACCGCACGUCAUUGCUUUUAUGGUGAAUAAUGCAAUGUGAGGACCCAAGUAAAGAACAAAUGUAUGCAAACCAGAUCCUGAAAUCGUCAAAAAGUAUUGUUAGUAUUCAUCAAAACAAUAUCAGCCUUGAGGGUGUUUAAAACAUAUUCUUACCAAGACCAAUUGAGGAUGCAACACCUAAGAAGAUCCACCAUAGCCCAAAUCUAACGUACUCAGAGAGUUCCUCAAGGUGCUGCACUUGGUAGAAAAUAAAUAGAUAUUACAAUUUGCUUCAUCCAAAUAUGUAAAAUUCAAAUAAAGAAGCGAAUGAGCUAACAGCUAAGAUCACAAGCAGAGUUUUAUUUCCUUUGUAACCACUCCCUUUGCCUAAAGCUACACACAGACAGAAACGGUUUUAAGCUAUUUUACCUUAACGUGUGGGCCAUCGAGGGUCACAAGCAGAGCUGAAACUACCGCAAAAACGAUAGUGAAGAGCAUAAACAAGCCGCCGUUAGCAAGAAGGUAGGAGGCAGAUCUUCUUAGAUAAAGAAAAACAGCAGCGACAAAUAGUCUAAAGGUCUUGAAAGGCUGCGAGGUCAAUGUGAGUUUCUCUAGAUCCUGUUGAUGCUUCUCUCGCAAACCUGGCAUAAAAAAAAACAUAGAGACUAUUACUUUUUAGACAAACAAAAACUCAAAACUCAUGAAUCAAAUCAAACACCAAUGGAUCUCUCUGUCUAUUCAUAUCAAUUGGGAUAAUCAUCUAAGAAUGCGCGAACAUCAAUGAAUCAUAUCGAUCUGAUCCAAUGUUCAACCCUAAAAAGUUUCAAACUUUACUCAAUAAAAGAGCUGCUACAUCGUUUAGACAACCACUCAAGCUCUAAAAAUCCAUGAUCUCUGUCUAAUUAUACCAAUCAGAUUCAAUGUAGGAAGUUUAAACCUAAAGUUUGAAACUUUAUGAAGGGGAACGAAGAAGGGCACCUGAGAUUGCAGGAUUUGUUGUAGAAGAAGCACGUUUCGAAGAACCCAUCUUCCAGAGGCAAAUUUUGUCGAUUCCUACUGAAACUCUGGGCUCUGAUGAACACUGGGUAUGUUGGUGGAGCUUGGAAUUGAAUCGAAAUCAAUGUCUCGAUCUCGAUUUGAAAGUUACGUCUUUUUUUUUUUUUUUUCCUAUUCUUCUCUUCUCCUGUGUUUACGGUGUGCGACCAAAAUAUCAGGUUCCUGUUUUGUUGGGCGUGUUUGGUUUUUAUAAUUCGAUCCUCAACUUGAAAAAUUAAAAAUAAUUUAACGGGCCGAUGGGGAUAGUUAAUGGGCUUAGUUUAAAGCCCAUUGGAUUCUUAACUUUAAAAAGGCUCUUUUCUCGGUCAACUGUUAUGUUCUUUAUUUUUUUGGGAGUCAACACUUGUUUUUGUUCUUACCUUCGCGAGUGUAAUAACGUUUUUUUUUUUGUUUGUCUUAAAAAAGUUAAAAAAACCCUUUGUCCAACUCCAGAGUUUCUCUUCCAAAUCCCUUCUAUUUCUCAAACGAGCAUCGCAGAUUUCGUAGUGCUCAUGGAGGUUGAAUUGAAAGCAUUGCUCGAUGAUCUCAACGUUCUCGAGAAAUCUCUCUCCGAUCCGGCUCCGAUCCAGAAGGUGUUUGUUCUUUUGCUUCUGAUCUCGUUCUUAAGUGGAUUAUUUACUUAUUCCAAGUCCGUCUCUUUUGUGUCAUGGAUUAUGUUUUUGCUGUCUUAAAUUCGAAAAGAACUGAACUUUUCACAUGCAUUGGUGUUUAACUGUUUAAGAGUUAUCCUUGUAUUGAUCUGGAUUCUAUUGAAAGCAUUCAUCUUUAUGGCAAAUGUGAAAGCUUUUGUUGUUGUUGCAUUGUUCUUAUGUUUUUGAUGAAUCAUACAGCUGCGAUCACAUGUUGAGAAUCUAGCGGCUCUGUCUAAGUGUAACCCUCACCGGCGUUCUAAAGUCAAGGUCUGCAUUUAUAAUUUAUUGACAUUUUCUUCUAAUUUAUGUAAUCAAAUGCAAAACGUUCUGAUAGAGGGAUUCUCUAUUGCAGGAAUUGAGUUCGGAAGUGGUAGAUAGUAAUCCUUACAGUAGGCUUAUGGCUCUUCAGCGGAUGGGUAUUGUUGAGAACUAUGAGAGAAUCAGAGAGUUUUCAGUUGCCAUUGUUGUAUGUAUCCCUCUCUCUACCUCUCUCUUUGUUUCCAAGUUUUCCUCGCCAUAUAUAGCUUAUACAACUUUACAUUGACAGGGCAUUGGAGGUGUUGGAAGUGUUGCUGCUGAAAUGCUGACUAGAUGUGGUAUUGGUCGGCUUUUGUUGUAUGACUAUGACACUGUCGAACUUGCUAACAUGAACCGACUCUUUUUCCGACCUGAUCAGGUUCUCUCUUUUCAUUUUAAUUUGCAAUCUCUCUUUUUUUUUUCAUUCAGUUAGUCUUGUCUGUGUUCUGAUCUCCGAGUAAUGGUGACUGUAGGUUGGUAUGACAAAGACUGAUGCUGCUGUACAGACCCUUGCAGAAAUUAACCCUGACGUAGUCCUUGAGGUAAGUUCUCUACUUGAUUGUCUUCUUCAUGGGGAUUAAACAUACCUGAUGCUAGUUUAUAGGUUGUUUAUAUCAUAUUUGCUUGUAAAUGAAAAGUCUAUGGAUUCGAUUUGAAUUAUUUUCUUAUUAUGUAGGAGGUCUUUGAUGUAUGAUGUUCGUUUCUUUUGCCUCUUUCUGGAUAGUUUAUUGUUUCUGCUCUUUUCUACUGAGAACUAUUACUUUAGCACUCACUUAACUGAAGUCACAAUUUGCAUUUUUUCUCCUAGAGUUUCACAAUGAACAUAACAACGGUGCAAGGCUUUGAGACCUUCACGUCGAGCUUGAAGAACAAGUCAUUUUGUCCUACCAAGGAGGGCUGUGGUGUGGAUCUUGUUUUGAGCUGUGUUGAUAAUUAUGAAGCAAGGAUGGCUGUCAACCAGGUACCUCUUUUUUUUUUUUUUCUCGAGAAAGAGCCUUCUUUUUGUUACAAAUUUGCCACAUAGUUUUUACUUCUCCAUCAAGCUUUUCGAUCUUUUAUUGUAGAUGAGUUGUUACUUACAACAUCUGGUAUGCUUGUGAGUGGUAAAGAUAGACAGCUUCUGAUUUGAGUUUAUUCUUUGAUAUAUUGUAUAGGCAUGCAACGAGUUAAGUCAAACGUGGAUGGAGUCAGGUAAACACUAUGAAAAGCUUAUAAUUGCAUGUAUCAUUGGAAACAACCUAUGAAUUGGCAUGUCUCCGUGGCUCUUAUGCACAAAGGGAUUGUCAUAUUUUGUAGCAGUCUUGUCUGUUCGCAGUUCACCAGUUCUGAUGGAUCAGUCAUCUAUUUAUGAAUCACAUUCAGCUCGUGAAGUCUGUAGUUGAGCUGACAUAGAAUACGAUAUUUUGUGCAGGUGUUUCUGAAGAUGCCGUUUCAGGUCACAUACAGCUUCUGGUUCCUGGAGAAACUGCUUGUUUUGCUUGUGCACCUCCUCUGGUAUGUUAUUUUUCCUUCUUACAUCAGUCAUACAACUGCCUAGAUGCUCGAGGAAUGUUAGAAGUAGAACAUUAGUAAAUUUAAGGAUUUUAUGAUUCAGUGUGCUGUUAACUUACACUUGCAUCUCCUCUAAAUAACAUACCAGAAUCUUUAUAAGUAGAACUUUGGUAGGGUGCUGUUAAUACUACACUUGCAUCUCCUCAAAAUAAUCUAUUUAUAUUUUAUAGGUCGUGGCAUCUGGAAUUGAUGAACGGACACUUAAGCGAGAAGGGGUCUGUGCUGCAUCUCUGCCUACUACUAUGGUAAUUGUCAACCACCUUACAGUACUGUUGAAGAACAUUUGGAUAUUAUAACUAGUUAUCAUGUAGCAGACAAUGUGUUUGCUUAAUUUUGAAUUCAGGGUGUUGUUGCGGGGCUUUUGGUUCAAAACUCUCUCAAGUUCUUACUAAACUUUGGUGAAGUUUCUCCAUACUUGGUAAAAAGUCUUAGCUCCUCUUGCAUUAUCAUAAUGAAUCAUUUGAAGUUCAAUCGUUUUAUGAUUCUGCUACUUGACGUCCACAGGGUUACAAUUCACUGAAGGAUUUUUUCCCAACCAUGCAAAUGAGACCAAAUCCACAAUGCUCUAACGCAGCUUGUAUGGAACGGCAGGUAACUUUGAGUGAAAAUCAACUACAUUACUCUCUCAGCUCGUUUUUGUUUCACUGUUCCAAGGCUAAAAAUGGAAAUUUCAAAAAUGCAGAACGAGUACAUGCUUGCAAAACCAGCAAGGGACGCUGCUGCCAAAGCUAAGAUGGAAGCUGAUGCGUUAACAGCUGUUGAUGAUGGUCCACUCCAUGAUGAUAAUGAGUGGAACAUAAGGUAACAACUCUGUAAAAUUAGUUAACAGACAUAUAUGCAACGAGAGAUCUGAUGUGUAUCUUAUGUCUUUUUGUAAGUGUGGUUGAUGAUGAAAAUGAGAAGGAUGCAGCAAAAGCUUCCUCAAGUUCAGGUAGUUUCAACUUGGGACUCUCUGUACCAUUUAUGUGAAAGUGUAUUAAAAUUUGAAGUUUUCUUCUGACAAUUCUUGAAAUUGAUUUUGUGGUUGUAAUAGAUACAUUGCCAGAAGGGCUUACUAGGGAGCUUCCAGUCGCAGAUGAGUAUGAGAAGGCAAUAGCUAUAGGGUCUGGAGAGGCAGAUGAGGAAGAGGACGACCUUGAAGAUCUGAAGAAGCAGCUCGAAGCUCUUAAUGCUGCUUGAAGUCUUUUAUUGUGAGACAUAAUAUAGUUGUUUUAUCAGUUUUUACUUGAAAGAGGUGACAAACGCAAUUGUGUAAAAGCAAAAGAAAAGAGUGUUUGAGGUUUUGAUAAAUUGGAUCUCACAGGCAUAUAAACAAUAAUCUUUUUGGAUGAUGAUUUCUCCCUUUUAUUAUUGGCUUACCAAAGUUGAAGUUAUACAAUUUUGCAGAUAUUGCAUGGUUUUCUACAGGCGUGGGCGUUCGGGUCGGGUAUUUUGGUAUUGAAGUUUAGAAUCCAUUUUGAAUAUUUUUAUUGGGUUUAAAUAUUUUUAAUUUGAGUUCGGUUAUUUCGGGUCGGGUUUGAAUAUUUAAAAGUAGCCUUACUUGGCAAACAUGAAAGGGUUAAUAAAAAGGAUGGUAAAAAACAAAACACACUCAACCCAAACCAGAAGAAGUCUUUCAUACAUAAAAAGAAAAAGCAAUGACACACCAUUAAGAAUUUUCAAUACUUUUUACCAAGAAUGACACCUAUAAUGACAGACACAAGAGCCACUCCGAGGACAAUCUUCAAUGUCAUGAAAUGAGAUGUUUCAGCUUUCUGAGUUGUUGUAACGUUUCCUGAAGAAGAAGACGAAUGUGAAGCAGAAGAAGCAUGAUCUGACUCCUCCUUACUCUUACGUUGCUUUGGAGUUGGAAAAGAGAAAUCAAUAUCUCGAGGCUUAACUUCUACUUCUCCUUUUCCUAUAGUCUCAGUUUCCUGCAAGUUUGAUUUAUGAAGCUUCAUUGCUUCCUCGUCCACCGAAACCUGUUCACUUGCUUUAGCUUCAUGCUCAUGCAAUUUUGAGGUCAGUUCUGCAACUUUUUCGACCUGAAAAAAAAAGACACAAGAAACACCACACAAAUUGUGAAUCAGCAUUCCUAAAAUGUUAUCCCAUUGUCCUGAGUUAUACUGUUACCUCUUCUUUCAACUGAGCUUCAGCGUUUUUCAAUUGUUUUUCAACUUCAUCAAACUUGGACUCCAACACCGACUUUUCAGAAGCCACAGAAGUGAGCUUCUUGAUUUCGGAUGCCAUAGCAUCCAGUUUAGACUUCUCUACUCCGAGGUGUUCUUGAAUAUUUAUGAGCUCAUUCUUUGUGCUGUGAUGUAUCUCAUUGACUUGGCUAUUCUCUUCUGCAAGGGAUUUAACCUAAAGUAGAAAGCAGUGUCAAAAUAUAUCAUGAGAUGGUUUACUAAUACAUGAUUUUUUAGAUUCUGUGAAUGUUUUGUCUACCUGUGAUCUUAAUCUUUCUGUUUCAGAAGUAAGCUUGUUUGUUAAUUUUUCUAUGGCCCCCUUUGAAGCCUGUAGCUCUUUUGCUGUUUGGUUCUUCUCAGCUUCUAAAGCAGCGAACAUUGCCUGAAAGCCACUGGUCUCUGACCCAUGAUCGGCUAGCUCCUGGUUCAGCUUUAGAUUCACUUCGGCUAAAGAUCCAUUUUCUUUCUCAAGCUCUUUGAUUGUAUCUUCAAAAGUCUUGAGUUUCUGUAGAGCCUUUUCAAGCUCUAUUUUUCUAGUAUCAGCAACUUCAGAUACUUCUAGGACUUUCUUAAUAUGUUCCUCAAUUAGGUUUUCAUGGGAUUGUAACUUUGUAGCCAAGUCUUUAGCUUCUAUGUCUCUCUGAUUAAACCUUUCCUUCUCAGCAACCAGAAAGCCUUCAAGUUCUUGAAUCUUGAUCUUGAGUUGAUUGUUUGUGUCUGAUAGUAACUCAUUCUCCAAGGAUGACUGAUAAAGAUCUUCAGAUGCUUCAGCCAACUUGUCUUCAUAUAAUCUUAUUCUCUUCUCCAAAUGUUUCGAUUUCUCGGUCAAUGACUUGGCCUCCGUAUCUAUGAUAUUGAGUUCCUUCAUUGCCUUCUGAAUGCUGAGAUCUGAGUGUUUAUGCAAAUCUUUUAUGUCUUUGCUUCUUUUGUUAGCUUCAUCUGUUUCUCUUGCUUGCUUCUCAAGUCUCUCUUCAGCUGAUUUCAGCUUCUCCAUCGCCUCGCUUUCCCUUAAUCCAGCAGCUUUGUUCUUCUCAAGUUCCUGGCUCAGUUCCAGCUCCAGUGCUUUUACAUUUUCUUGCAGUUCAUAUAGUUCUCUCUGUGGAGUGCUUGAGCUUCUUUCAAUAGGAACUUGCUUCUCUGCUUUCUCACCAUCCUUAGUGUCAAUCCCUUCUUUCUCAACCUUUAUGAAUCCACCAUCAGAUGUAGUAUCCUCCUCUUCUUUCGUAAUUGCUUUAUCUUCCUUGGUCAUUUCUCCCUUCACAUCCUGUAAUCAAAAACAGUCACAAUACUUAAAUCUCCUAUGAUAACUAGUAAUAAUAAAAAGUUGAUAGAUUCAGUAGCACGUCUAGAAUUAAAAUCUUUUCUUUGUCAUAUCAAUCUAUUUAAUGUCAAAGAUAUAAAUGAAAACAAUUCUCCUAUAGUUAUAGUAGUUAGGAGUGAACUUGAAUGAAUUGUAGUAUUGUACAAUAGAUUAUAGAGGAUAACCUGUAUGUUCAAUGGCAAGAGAAAAAAACAUUAAAAUUUUGUAAAAGUAUUUCAUUAUGAACAAACAGAUCAUUACCUUAACAGAAACAUCGACCGUCUUUACAUCCUCAAGUGCACCUUUCACUACAUGGACCUCGGAAUUCAUUUUUGUUUCUUUUUCCAUCAAGCAGUUCCUAAUACCUUUUAGUCUGCAACCGACGAAAAAUUUAAGGCUUUGAAAAUGGUACUAAUAAUGAGUAAUUCACCAUGGUUUUAUAAGUUUUGUUUCUUGCAUCAACAAGAUAUGUGAUCAAGUUCAGUUGCAUUCCAACCGCAACAUUUUUAUCUUAUAGAAAAUGGAAAUCCUUUAGUAGCUUGUAAGAAAGAGAAACCAAAAUAUUUCAACCAUUCAUGAAAAUAGAUUGUAAAAUAUAAUUGGUUAAAUAGUGUCUCAUUGUAAUAUUCAAGUAAAUGGUGGAUUUAUUAUUGCCAACAACAUUUUUUAAAAGAUUAUGAAUAGAACAAAGGCUUACGAUCAUACACAAGUAUAAAGUAACCAAACUCCAAACAGAAUUUGCAACAAAGUUACUUUUAUUUGGUUGAUGAAACUAUUAAGCAUAAAGCAUAAACAUACUCAACUAUGUGAUCAUUGUUCUGUACCGUUUGAGAUUGACACACUUAUCAAGAUUCGAUGUAACCUUUUUUUGGAAAGACUAACAAGUUAACGGUGGCUUUACCAACCAAUAAAGAAAGGAUAGCCACGCACGGAGGUAUUAUUAAAUAUUAACGAGUAAUUUAUGUAUGUGCAAACCAAGAUGUGCUUAGAGUGUCAAUAUAAAAAGUCAACUAACAAAUAAAAGGCAUGUUUAACGCCCACAUAAUUGGUCGCCCUCUCUUAAAUUGUGUAUACAAUAGUAGUUUAUUAAAUUUGUAGUAUUUGACAAGAAGACUAUCCGAAAAGAAAUUUCAAAUGGAAAAACUAGUAUUACUUUAAACAUAUUGGAAACGAAUAAAAUUUGAAAACAAAUAUAUUUAAAUCCAAGUAUACAACUAAGAUAAAGAAUCACAAACUUAUUACAGUUAAAAUAAUAAUAAAAAAUCAUAAGCAAUGGCGACCAGAUGAAUAGUGAUGGAACAAGUAUACUACUAACUAAACAAGAAAAAUAGUUCCCAAAAUAGAAAUUUUUUCGCUACAAAAUAAAUAUCGUUUUCAAUUUUUAAUGCAAAAAUUAUUAAUUUUAUUUAACAAUAUAUUUUUUAUUGGUUGAAAUAUAGUUAGUUGUAUAGAUUUCAUAAUUGUGUUUUUAUAUAAGAAAUAGAUACAAUUAAUUGUUUCUUUAAUUUGUGUGCACAAAUCCAAAACAAAAUUUUAUUUUCGAAUUAUUCUGUCAGUUUUGGUUAAACACAAAACAAAAACUAUCACGGCCGUUAUAAAUUAGAGACGUGGAAGAUACUACUAACGUCUCAUCAAAAUGACAAAUUCUCACUGUAUCAGGCUAAACCGGGCAUUAAACGAUAUAAACGAAGAACAUUCGAUGAAUUAAGAAAUUGUAAUCAUUAACCUAGUUUUCUAAACGCUAUCUAUAGAUAGAGACAUAGCUUGAAAGUUGCAAGUGAAGCCUAAUUCUUGAAAGAAAUAUCAUCAAAAGAGUUACCACGUUUAAUAUUACGAUUCAUUCGUGUUUUUUUAGAGAAAUGAAUCGGUAAUAUAAGAAUAAUCAAUUGUUAAAUUUUAAAACAACUCACGUAUAGACAGAAAAAAGAAUAUGCAUACUACUAGUAUAAGAAGGUGAUUCAUCCAUUGAUCUGUUGAAUUCCUAAGUAGAAGUUAUCGUUGUCACUAUCAGAUAUAGUUAGAUUUUAAGACAAUCUAAAACAGAAAGACGACUUGGACCUAUCACCAGAUCCAACAAAAAAACAAAAGAAAUGACGGUGGAUUUGAGAUGCUUACUUGAAUCUGCUCAAUAUGUUUUUCUUUCUCUGUUUUUAGUUUUUGGAUUUUAGUUUUUCAAAAAAAAAAGUUUUCUCGUAAAUGGGGAAAUGAAAAUGCAUGAGGAGAGCAAGAAGAAGACCAAGAGAUGUCAAUGGAAGAGACGAAGACAAGUCUCUCUUUUAAUUGUUUUAGAGUUUAUAACGUGAACAGCAGAAAUAUAUAGGUCUCUCUUUGUAUUUUUGAAAGGCAAUUUCAACGGAUGAAUUAACUGUCUAAAUUCCUCUUCCACGGUUCCACCCCUUAUUUCGGUUUUCCCGGUUUGAGUUUGAUAUGAUGGUCCGAUCCCGAUUUAUAUUGUUCAUUAAUGUUAAUAAUUGGUAUUCUCUCCGUAUCAGUUUAACUGGUGUUUAAAGAUUUUGAUUUUGUUUCAAAAUAUGUGAUAUUUUCACAAUUCUAGGUGAAAUUUAAUGAAAUUUGAAAAUUUUAACCAAUUAUAAAAUACUGCAUUUUUUUAUUGGUUGAAUUAGUUUUAUUUAAUGUUACCAAAUCUAAUUACAUAAAAAUUUGUAUUUUCUUAAUAUUUGUGCAAAAACUUUAAACACCUCUUAAAAUGAUACAAAAGGAGGAUAUUUUUGUAUCAUAGCCUUAUCCUAGUUUUUCAUAAAGUUAAAGACAAUAUAGUCAAAUAACUAAUCAAUAACUUUAAAUGUGUACCCAACUUCCAAAUAAUGAGUUAUUGAAAAUGCAUAUCUAGAAUUGAAGUGUUUCUUUCUUUGGUAUAACAACAACAAAAUGUACCUGUAUAUAAUUUAUCCAUCUAAAUGAUUAACAUAAAAUAUAUGAAUAAUCCUUUUUAUGAGUUAUAGACACUACAUAUAUUUAUAAUUCAUAUAUAUUAUAAUCACUUCACAGUUGAGAUAAGUUGAUACAUGUAAAUAUUUCUUUCUAAUGUUUCUUGUAGAAGUUAUGAGCAUUUUUGGUUGGUCGAUUGGGAUUGUUUAAUAUUAUAAGAAAGCAAAGAUUAGAAAAGGGUAAUUUGCAAGGCAUUCCAACAAAUCCUUAUACUUCAUGCAAUUUCAUGUUUCUCAUACCUUGUUCGUAUAAAUAUAUGUCUAUUUUUUGCAUUCUCCUAUUCAUCAAGUUCCUUCUACCCCUUCCCUCUUAAGAAAAACAACAACCUGAAAAUUUUCCAAAUACUUUUUUUUUCCUCCAAAUAUCAUUUUGUUCCAAAAAUAUGAAAUUUAGAACAAUUUCAUUACCUCUAUCUAUAGGAAUUGCCAUAGUGGCCAUUUUAGCAUCCAAAACUCUAUUUGACACACAUCCUAGAGCCUUCAUGCACAAUCCUUUCGAUGUUCUGCAUACAAUCAAAGCUAUAUCAUAUUCAGCUAUAACUUCCGUUUACAGCCGCCACCACCAUCAUCAUCACCACCACCAUAAAAAACCAUCUGAUACCAAAAAGAAAGUAUCAAUAUGCGACGAUUUCCCCAAAAACAUACCUCCACCAGACACCGAUACGACGUCCUAUCUCUGCGUCGAUAAGAAAGGCUGCUGCAAUUUCACGACAGUGCAAUCAGCCGUGGACGCAAUCGGAAACUUUAGCCAGAAAAGAAACGUGAUAUGGAUCAACUCCGGCAUGUACUAGUAUGUUUUCGUGAUAACCUUUUUGUUCCACUAAGUAAUUGUUAUAACGAUCCUGUUUAAUUAUUAAUUUAUAGUAAAAAUAUUAAUACGUAAAAGUAAAUAAAAUAUACUUAUUGUGUGGCAGUGAAAAAGUGGUGAUUCCGAAGACUAAGCCAAAUAUCACGUUACAAGGACAAGGGUUCGAGACGACAGCCAUAGCUUGGAACGAUACGGCCUACUCGGCUAACGGCACUUUUUAUUGUGCCACGGUUCAAGUCUUUGGUUCUCAGUUCGUCGCUAAGAACAUAAGUUUCAUGGUAAUUUCAUUAUCUUUUGACACAACUCACAAGCAAUAUACCAUACUUAAAUUGAAAGGCUAGAAACCUAGAAUGAAAUAUAUAUAUUAGUCUUGGGAUAUAUUUUGGUGACAGAACGUGGCUCCUAUACCGAAGCCUGGAGAUGUAGGAGCUCAGGCGGUGGCGAUAAGAAUCGGGGGAGAUCAAUCUGCGUUUUUGGGAUGUGGUUUCUUUGGAGCUCAAGACACUCUUCAUGACGAUAGAGGUCGUCAUUACUUCAAGAAUUGCUACAUUCAAGGCUCCAUUGACUUCAUCUUCGGCAACGCUAAAUCUCUCUACCAGGUACAUAUAUUUACUUAGAUAAUUAGACUUUUCGUUAUAUAGUUUAAUGGACUUCAUUUUAUCGACGCUAUAAAUAAUAACUUAAUAUAAUUUAUAAACAAAUAUCUCCGAGCCAAAAAGAAGUACAUGCAAGUUACAUUAAGUCCAAGUUAAAAUUUGGUAUGUUUAUGUAAUAAGUUUUUUCCUAGUAGGAUUGUCAAAUAAUAUCAAUGGCGAACCAAGUGAGCCCAGGGUCAAAGUCGGUCAACGGAGCCGUGACUGCUAAUGGCCGUAACUCAAAGGAUGAGAACAGUGGCUUUGCCUUCGUCAACUGCACAAUAGGCGGCACUGGACAUGUGUGGCUAGGUCGUGCAUGGAGGCCUUACUCGCGUGUUAUCUUUGUUUCCACUUAUAUGACCGAUGUUAUUGCAUCUGAAGGCUGGAACAACUUCAACGACCCCUCAAGGGAUGCGUAAGCACACACUUUUAUUUUCUUACCGAAGGUUGAUUUAACAAGAAUAAUACUAAGAUCCAUAUUUUUCUUUGUUGGGGUUAGGACAAUAUUCUAUGGAGAGUAUAAUUGUUCGGGACCAGGAGCUGAUGUUUCGAAAAGGGCACCGUAUGUUCAGAAGCUGAAUGACACUCAAGUUGCUGAGUUCGUUAACGUGACUUUUAUUGAUGGAGACCAGUGGUUACAAUUAUCCGAUCUUUAAUUAGAGAUAAAUCAUAAUCUCUAACUCUAUUGUCUAUAACAGUACAGUAACAAAUUGUGUUUACGGGACUGAAAUAAAAAAAAAUGCGAAAUGAGUUGUACAUGUAAAACUUGUUGAACAUAAUCUAGACAUUAAUUAACAGUUCUCCAAUCUAAUCGUGGAGUUCCUAAUUUUGUUGCUUAACCAAGAGUAUAGUAACUCAAAUGUAUAUUAACCAUAAUCAGACCGGCCGGUUCGGUUCAAUUUAGAAAAAACAUUAAUUUGCAAUUGCAUCUUCUUCACAUGCUCCGCAUAUUCCUCGGGAAAAUGCUGCUCGAGAGAAUAAAGAGGAACAACGCUCGCACCUUUGCGAAUUUCGCAACCUAUCGGAAGUUAUGACUAACGUCGCCGGAGAUCGUAACGGAGACGGACGUUCAGCCGCCGUCACCGAGAGUUCGCCUCCCUCUGAUCCUCCAAUCCGCGUCUACGCAGAUGGGAUCUACGAUCUGUUCCACUUCGGUCACGCUCGAUCUCUCGAACAAGCUAAGAAAUCGUUAGUACUUGUUAUCUCUCGCGGCGAAUGUUUCCUCAUUGUUCAGUCUCGAUUUCGAUUUCGAUUCCUGUAGCUGUUUUGAGUGUGUUUGUUUGUGGAAUCAUGGUGAUAGUAUCUCGCGCAAUUAGAAUAUCUUAGUGUUGAUCUUGUGAGUUUAGUCAAGAUAUGUAAUGGCAUACUGCAAUGAUUUUGAUGACUAUUCAAGUUAGAUUCGUUCCAUGUUCUUAUUAUUGAGUGCACUGUUGAUGGUAUUGGCCAAGCAGGUUUCCAAACACUUACCUUCUUGUGGGAUGCUGCAAUGAUGAUACUACUCACAAGUACAAGGGAAAGACUGUGAUGAAUGAUCAAGAACGAUAUGAAUCUCUUCGACAUUGCAAGUAAUUUUUGUUUUUCUCACUAAUGUUUGCUUGUGUUAGUACUGCUAGUGAUGGUGAUGGUUAACCAGUUUCGUCAUGCAGAUGGGUGGAUGAAGUUAUCCCUGAUGCACCGUGGGUGAUCAACCAAGAGUUUCUUGACAAGCACCGUAUUGCCUAUGUUGCCCAUGAUGCUCUUCCGUAAGCUUUCUUUAUCACUUGUCUUGUAAAAAGAAUGCAGGACUUUAGUGUUGAAUAGUGAAGUUUGUUUCAAACUAUCAGCUUUAUUCUCACUGUAGACUAAGCUUAUUUGUAUAUAUAUUAUCCACAGGUAUGCUGAUGCCAGUGGAGCUGGAAAAGAUGUCUAUGAGUUUGUGAGUCUGAGUCGAUAUUCAUACUCUUUUCUUCGGUUGACGUUAUCUGUGGCUAUGAUAGUCAGUUUAUGUUUUUAACUGAGUUUUCAUUGCAGGUCAAAAAAGUAGGGAGGUUCAAGGAGACUAAGCGAACUGAAGGGAUAUCUACUUCGGAUAUAAUAAUGAGGAUAGUGAAAGAUUAUAACCAGUAUGUCAUGCGUAACCUUGACAGGGGAUACUCAAGGGAGGAUCUUGGAGUUAGCUUUGUGAAAGUAUGACAUCAUUUCUCGACCUUUCUCAUCUUGUUGUUUUGAAAUUUUCUCUACUUAGGAGUAAACUUUGGAUGUGUUGACUUGGAACAGGAGAAGAGACUUAGAGUUAAUAUGAGGCUGAAGAAACUUCAGGAGAAGGUCAAAGCACAACAAGAGAAAGUUGGUGAAAAGGUUUGUAUUUCACUCACAUUUCCUUUGUAGAUUGAUCAUCCUGAGUCCCUUGUUUAUAGUGUUAAAGGUUAUGUAGUUAUCUUAGCUCUUGAGACACUAUCAUUGAAUACGGCAUACCAAGUGUUAAAGGUUAUGUAGUUAUCUUAGCUCUUGAGACACUAUCAUUGUUCUAGUUUAUGUACCUUCUAUUUUUGAGAGUUUGUCGUCAGGAUUCUUCUGUUUAAAUAUGGCAACGCCAAGUGGUUGAAUUAUCUAUCUGUAGACUUUAGUGGCAUACAGUUUGCGAGUGUGGUUAAGCCCACGCAUGAAAACUGCAUUCUGUAUUGUGGUGGAGCUCUCUCUUUAAGAUCUCUGAUAACUUUGAUAUCUGAUAUCGAAUUUUAAUGAUUUGGUUAACUUCACAUAGAUUUAUAAUUUUUUAGCCUCUAAUCUAUCAAACCCGUUCUAAUCCUUGCAGAUCCAAACUGUGAAAAUGGUACGUAAUGAGUGGGUGGAGAAUGCAGAUCGUUGGGUAGCUGGAUUCCUUGAAAUGUUUGAAGAAGGCUGCCAUAAGAUGGUAAGUUAGCAAACCUAAUAAAAAUCCUCUUUUCGUGAUUUUGGAGUUUGCACUAAUCUGUCAUAAAAUAAUAACUUGUAUAUUAGGGAACUGCCAUCAGAGACCGAAUCCAGGAGAAGUUAAUGAGACAAGAGUCCAAAGAAUUGCUCGAGACGGGUCAGCAUAAAGACACGGAGGAACAGUUCUACGAAGAAUAUUUCGAGCAUGACAUUGUUGACAGCUGUGAAGACAACGAAGACGAUGAAGAAGAGUACUAUGACGAGAUUGAAGAGCAAUGUAGUGCCUCAAAAGCAUUAAAAAGUAACUAGAGGAAGAUAUUUUUUAUGUUGUUUUAGUGCCCUAUUGUUCACUAUUGCAGUAAAAUGCUUAUCAAAUGACUUAUUAGUUAGCUACAAGAGUUUAGAAAACAUUUAUGUGAUCUUCUUUUUAAAGACAAUCCUUUUGCUGCCCUCUUUUUAUUAGAUUUUUGUUUUAUUUUGUAUAAUUUAGUUUAUAAAUUAUAACCAGGAUUGUUCAAAAAAAAAAAUUAUAACCAUGCAUUGUUUUAAUAUUUCUUGUUUGGUUUAAUUUUUUUAAAAACCUUGUAACAUUAGAUGUUCUAAUUGGUGAUUUCAGUGAGUUAUGUUUUUGGUUAGGCCUGGUUAAUGACAAAAUUUCAAAAGAUACUAUUUUCUUUACGUGACAUAUAUGUCACUAAUUUUUUCCGACAUUGGUAUAACAUGGAUAAAGAUUUAGACCCCAAAUAACCAUAAUUUUGAAAUAUAAUUAUGUUCUAUGUAAAUUUAGAUUCAAAAGCUAAGAUCCUUAUAACAAAUCUUUUUCUUAAGUUGAAAAAAUCGAAAGCAAACGGAAUAUCCCGAUCUACAGGCAUGUCCACAUUUAGCACGUGCUAAUUCACUUAGCGUGAUCCUUAGCACGUUUACUAUAAAUUAAGAGAACACAAGCUGGGAAAAGCAGAAGCCUAUUACGUGUGGUUUGUGUAUAUCUCAAUCUGAAAAUCUCAGAUCAGAUUGCUAAAUUUUGUUCGUUGGUUUUUGGUUUUUUUUUUUUUUUUUUUUUUUUUUUUUUUUGAGAAAAAUGCAUAUAAUGAGUUCACCAAUGUGCGACCAUUGCAAUAUGGGAAAAGCCGUUGUUUAUUGUAAGACACAUUUGGCUAGGAUUUGUUCUCAAUGUGACCGGAAGUUACACCACUAUGUGACUAUGGAUAGUCCCGAUCACUCGCGGCUUCUGUUGUGCGAAAAAUGCGUUUCGCAGGCCGCAGAUGUCCAGUGCCUUGAGCAAGGAUUGUGCCUAUGCCAAACAUGCGUUCCAAACGCCACCGUCACCUCACGUUUUCCUUUUUGUAACGUUUCUAAUAAUCAUUCUGGUUAUAGUUUUCCACGAGAUCUCGAUCUUGAUUCUUUUUCCUCCUCUUUGUCAUCUUCUUUAACUGAUCUCAGUUGGGGAUAUCACUUUGUUCCAUUAUCUCCCAAAAAUGGGGACUCAUCAUCAUCUUCCUCUGUCAUUUUUCAAAAUUUUGAUAAUCAUACAAAGAAUAAUAGUGAUCAACGAGGGCAAAUGCUUCAGCCCGAUUAUAUGGACAAUUCUAAGGUAUAUUCUUAUGGUUAGUUUAGAUGUGUCUGGGAUUAUAUUAUUAUGAUGAUACAUUUUUGUUCUUAUUUUGACGUGUCACUCUACGCAGGAGUUUUCAUAUUCAGGCUUGGAAGGUUACGAAACUAAAGAUAUAGAGAAUGUUUGGUUGAACAAUUUUGAUGACAACAAGGCAGUACUAUUAGACCAAAAAGAAUAUCUUUACAGGGAAGAAUUGAUCCUAACCGAUCAACUAAUCGAUGCAAUAAUGAAACACAAUGAUGAAACCACAACCGAGGUAGUAGCAAACAUCAACAUAAAUCUAUCGCAAAUUGAUGUUUUGAUUAAUUAUCUUUCUCUACUUUUUUGGUUAAAGAUUAUAUUGGCUUCAUCAUCGGGUAUGUCAUAGGUUAUACAUACAGAUUACAACAUUGAAGCUUUGGGUAAUGCAAGUUGUGAAGAUUCCAACACGAAUCAAAUGAUUCAAUCAAAGGCAAAGGAGGAGACCAAUAAUAAUGUUGGAAUAUUAUUCCCUAACGCUCAUAUUCAUGAUGAGUGUCGACCAUCGCAGUUGAUUCUGACUGAUGUCGAUGAGAUGUUACCAUGGGAUGAUCAAUUACUUGAAUCUCCUAUAUACACACCCCAGUAUCGAUUAGAGGCAAAGAAGAGAUAUCUUGAAAAGAAAAAGAAACGCAAGUAGGUAUUAUUUUAUUAUUUCAUGAGAUAUAUUGCAUUUAACGUAUAGAUAACACCAAAAGAAAAAUUAUACGUACAAUAUUAAGGUUAUAUUGAAUGCAUGCAGGUUUGGGAAGAAAAUUAGAUAUGAAUCUCGAAAGUCUUCAGCUGAUACGAAGAAACGACUGAAAGGAAGAUUUACAAAAGCUGAUGCAGAAUAUGAUUAUGACCCACGAGCCAAUAAUACUAUCAAAGAGGUUUAUAAAACCAAGACCUAAUUAAAAAGUUGAUCAAAGAGGCUAAUAAACGAAGACCUAAUAAAAAGAUGCGUGCAACCAUAUGAUCGAUCAUCUUCGUUAUGGCUCCAUGAUGUGUUUAGACUCUCUUUUUUUAUUGCCCAGAAAAUUAGUUAUAGUACGACGACGUACGCUUUUUUUAAUUUUGAUAGAGAGGUCAAACACUUACAUUAUUAAAAGAGACUUUUUUUUGGCAGGGGGGAGCUUUUAUUAUUAUGGUAUUAAUGUUUUGAUAAACAAUAAUACAUUUCAAUUCUAGCUAGAGAACUUUUUUUCAACCUAAGUGUCCGUCCAUGUAUAUGUAAGGAAAAGGAAGGCUCGCUUUUGCCUCAGAGACUUUGAUAUGACAGUCAAAGAGAAAAAAAUGAUUAGUCUCCAAGAAGCAGAACAUAGUGUAGGUGUUUGCUCAUAGCAAUUUUUAAUAGAAGUUCUUCACCGAUUUAAUGAUGUUUCCCCUAAUGUCCAAAUGAUUGUUAAUUCUUUUUAACUAGGUUACAAUUACGCGGGAUAAAAUAAAUAUAUUAUUGUUUAUCAAAACUUUCCAAAAAUAACAGUUUUUUAAAAAAAUAUUUUAACAUACAACAUAUUGAUAAAAAAUUCUUAAAUAUCCAAAAAUAUUUUUGUUAUCCUAAUUUAUAAAUCACAAUCCCAAAUCUACAAUAUUUCUUAAGAAAAUGAAAACUUUCCAAAAAUACCAGUUUUUAAGAAAAUUAUUUAAAAAUACAAAAUUUUAAUAAAAAAAUCUUAAAGAAUACUCAUUUAUCCACAAAUAUUCUUGUUAUCCUAUGUUAUAUAUCAGAAUCCCAAAUCUACAAUAUUUCUCAAGAAAAUGAAAACUUUUCAAAAAUAGCAGUUUUCAAAAAAAUUAUUUAAAAAUACAAAAUAUUGAUAAAAAAUUCUUAAAGAAUACUCAUCUAUCCCCAAGUAUUCUUGUUAUCCUAAUUUAUAAAUCACAAACUCAAAUCUACAAUAUUUCCCAGAAAAUUAAAACCUUCCAAAAAUAACAGUUUUUAAGAAAAUUAUUUAAAAAUACAACCUAUUGAUGAACAUUUCUUAAAGAAUACUAAUCUAUCCACAAAUAUUCUUGUUAUCCUAAUUUAUAAAUCACAAUCUCAAAUCUACAAUAUUUUUCAGGUAAAUGAAAACUUUCCAAAAAUAGCAGGUUUUAAGAAAAUUAUUUAAAAAUACAACAUAUUGAUGAAAAAAUCUUAAAGAAUACUCAUCUAUCCACAAAUAUUUUUGUUAUCCUAAUUUAUAAAUCACAAACCCAAAUCUACAAUAUUUCUCAAGAAAAUGAAAACUUUCCAAAAAUGACAGUUUUUAAGAAAAUUAUUUAAAAAUACAAAAUAUUGAUGAAAAAUUCUUAAAGAAUACUCAUCUAUUCACAAAUAUUCUUGUUAUCCUAAUUUAUAAAUCACAAUCUCAAAUCUACAAUAUUUCUCAAGAAAAUGAAAACUUUCCAAAAAUAACAAUUUUUAAGAAAAUUAUUUAACAAUACAACAUAUUGAUGAAAAAUUCUUAAAGAAUACUCAUCUAUCCACAAGUAUUCUUGUUAUCCUAAUUUAUAAAU